rnacentral:lncRNA from 1 species
AUAAACCAGCCAAUCAGCGAGUCUCGGCUCACCGCAACGCAUCGCGAGCCCGGUCCACGCGUGCGGUCCAGGGCUCAUGAGGAGAGAGAAGAAGGUCCGAAGGGCAACCUGAUAACUUCACAUCACUCGAUGGUCCGAUCAAGAUCCAACGCUCCACAUUUUUGCACCAUCGGACGGCCACCAUCGCAGCCGGUCAAGAUCCAACCGUAAUCAAGGCAAUUGCAAGAAUGAAUAAACACUAGGACAACACGGGAUCCUUCUGCAGCGCGAUCCAACGGACGAAAUCUUCCAGCGCCUUGAUCGGACGGUCCGCAAUGCAUCCGAUCUGAUCCCAUCUCUGCAGCGCGAUCCAACGACAGCGCUUCACCCAGAUCUUGAUCCGACGGCCAGAAUCGUUUCCAGCUUGAUUUAUUAGAUGAAUUGGGUCCUUUAGAUGAAGAUCGGACGGCUGAAACAAUUUCUAGGGUUUCUUGAUGGAUUUAAGUACUUUUUGAGCGAGAUUUGAGCCCCUAAACUCUCCUAACAACCCUCUAAAAUCUCUUAGUCCCACAUCUAAAGUUUUGAAAAUCUUAUAACCCC